UACGGGGGAUGCAAGCGUUAUCCGGAUUUAUUGGGUUUAAAGGGUGCGUAGGCUGUGAGGUAAGUCAGCGGUGAAAUGCCCCCGCUCAACGGGGUGAAGUGCCAUUGAUACUGCCUUGCUGGAAUGCGGAUGCCGUGGGAGGAAUGUGUGGUGUAGCGGUGAAAUGCAUAGAUAUUACACAGAACACCGAUUGCGAAGGCAGCUUGCUAGGCCGGAUCUGACACUGAUGCACGAAAGCGUGGGGAUCGAACAGG
rnacentral:rRNA from 1 species